rnacentral:ncRNA from 1 species
GAAAGCCGGAUGCGGGAGAACCGCAUGUCCGGUUUGAAGCGGCGGGGACUGGAAACGGAGACUCAUCCACCGCGC